AACACAUGCAAGUCGAACGCUCGUGGCAACACGGGAGUGGCGGACGGGUGAGUAACGCGUGGGAACGUACCCUUAGGUUCGGAAUAACUGCGGGAAACUGCAGCUAAUACCGGAUGUGCCCCUUACGGGGGAAAGAUUUAUCGCCUUGGGAGCGGCCCGCGUCGGAUUAGCUAGUUGGUGGGGUAACGGCCUACCAAGGCUUCGAUCCGUAGCUGGUCUGAGAGGACGAUCAGCCACACUGGGACUGAGACACGGCCCAGACUCCUACGGGAGGCAGCAGUGGGGAAUCUUGCGCAAUGGGGGCAACCCUGACGCAGCCAUGCCGCGUGAACGAUGAAGGCCUUAGGGUUGUAANGUUCUUUUGCCCGUGACGAUGAUGACGGUAACGGGAGAAUAAGCUCCGGCUAACU
rnacentral:rRNA from 1 species